rnacentral:tmRNA from 1 species
CCUCUUUCCAAGCGCCGGCUCAGCGCCUAUAUACGGCGCGUCAGCUUGUCUGACUAUGGUGAUAAACGGCCGAUGAAAUAAGCCUUUCGGACCCGGGGGCGGUACCCGGCGCCUCCACCAUAAACCGCCGUUCGCGACGGUUUAUGAUGGGGGCGAAAUAGGAUCGACGAGGGUGUAAAGAUCGGACUUUUGCCCGGCAUUGUACCACCGUUAUCGGGCUAAACUUGUAGUUGCAAACGACAACUAUGCUGAGGCACGUCUCGCUGCUUAAUGCGGCGCGAUAGUCUCGAAUCAAGCCCUACGGGUUAGCACCUUUAGGCGGGGUUCGGAGGUACCUGGCAACAGAAACCUCCACU